rnacentral:lncRNA from 1 species
UUGAAUUGAAUUGAAUUCUUCCCCCAUUCAUAGCGGUAGUCGGGGAUCCCUUUUGCCCUUUAUUGAUAUAGGUGUAAACAGAUUCACACAAAGAUCUGUAAGCAGUGAAACUAAAUCGAAUAACAUGAUUGGCAUAAUUAUGACUAUUGUUUGUUAUGUUAGGUCUUUCUAGAUAACUUUUCUUUUAUUGAUUAUGUUUCUCAUUAUUUUGCCAUGUUGCUUAUGGAUUGAGACAUGUAUUUCAAAAUGAAUUUCAUAUAAUUAAAAAUAUAAA